UACGAGGGGGGCAAGCGUUGUUCGGAAUUACUGGGCGUAAAGGGCUCGUAGGCGGCCAACUAAGUCAGACGUGAAAUCCCUCGGCUUAACCGGGGAACUGCGUCUGAUACUGGAUGGCUUGAAUCCGGGAGAGGGAUGCGGAAUUCCAGGUGUAGCGGUGAAAUGCGUAGAUAUCUGGAGGAACACCGGUGGCGAAGGCGGCAUCCUGGACCGGCAUUGACGCUGAGGAGCGAAAGCCAGGGGAGCAAACGGGG
rnacentral:rRNA from 1 species